rnacentral:rRNA from 1 species
UACGUAGGUGGCAAGCGUUGUCCGGAUUUAUUGGGUUUAAAGGGUGCGUAGGCGGUCUAUUAAGUCAGUGGUGAAAUACUCCAGCUCAACUGGAGGGGUGCCAUUGAUACUGAUGGACUUGAGUCAAGUCGAGGUAGGCGGAAUUGACGGUGGUAGCGGUGAAAUGCUUAGAUAUCGUCAAGAACACCAAUAGUGAAGACAGCUUACUAGGCUUAAACUGACGCUGAGGCACGAAAGUGUGGGGAUCAAACAGG